rnacentral:rRNA from 1 species
GACGAACGCUGGCGGCGUGCCUAAUACAUGCAAGUCGAGCGAGUCCCCGGCAUCCUUUGGAUGCCUAGGGCUAGCGGCGGACGGGUGAGUAACACGUAGGCAACCUGCCUGUAAGAUGGGGAUAACUACCGGAAACGGUAGCUAAGACCGGAUAAUCAGCUUUGUCGCAUGAUGAGGCUGUGAAACAUGGCGCAAGCUAUGGCUUACGGAUGGGCCUGCGGCGCAUUAGCUGGUUGGUGGGGUAACGGCCUACCAAGGCGACGAUGCGUAGCCGACC